rnacentral:rRNA from 1 species
UACGAAGGGGGCUAGCGUUGUUCGGAUUUACUGGGCGUAAAGCGCACGUAGGCGGUUUGUUAAGUCAGGGGUGAAAUCCCGGAGCUCAACUCCGGAACUGCCUUUGAUACUGGCAAGCUAGAGUCCGGAAGAGGUGAGUGGAAUUCCGAGUGUAGAGGUGAAAUUCGUAGAUAUUCGCAAGAACACCAGUGGCGAAGGCGGCUCACUGGCCCGAUACUGACGCUGAGGUGCGAAAGCGUGGGAGCAACAGG